rnacentral:lncRNA from 1 species
CAGGCUUUUACCGUGUUUUCUCGCCUCUAUUCUCUCCUGCGAGCAAGGGCUGGUUUUAGCUCCUCUUGUUUCGCAAAGUUAGUGUUCAGACCGCCAGCUGACUCCUGGGAAGAAGCAUUAAUGGAAUUUCCUCCAGUAUUUUCAUAGCAACCUUCAGAUGAAAGUGUAGAACUCUCAGCUCCUCCUGCAUCAUGACUGCCUGGGGCUGCCAUGUUCCUGCCUUGAUGAUAAUGGACUGAACCUCUAAACCUGUA